UACGAAGGGGGGCUAGCGUUGCUCGGAAUCACUGGGCGUAAAGCGCGCGUAGGCGGCUCGGAAAGUCGGGCGUGAAAUGCCGGGGCUCAACCCCGGGACUGCGUCCGAUACUUCCGAGCUGGAGGUAGGUAGGGGAGCAGAAUUCAUGGUGUAGCAGUGAAAUGCGUAGAUAUCAUGAGGAACACCAGUGGCGAAGGCGGCUCACUGGCCCGGUACUGACGCUGAGGUGCGAAAGCGUGGGGAGCAAACAGG
rnacentral:rRNA from 1 species